UGUUUCUGGGUUAUAUGUAUCAUGUCGUAUGUUUCUCGUUUCUAGUGUUUCUCUUUAGUAAGUUUCUCUUUAUAUGUUAUAUGUUGUAUGGACCCACAAGCUGCGUUUUCGAACUUUUUCGGCAAGAACACUUGGCAGACGAGAGGACGACAAAGGCCAAUAAGGCGUCUGCGUCUUUCUUCCUUUGGGACGCUCGUACGAAGGAGCACCGGCCUAAAGAUAUUGUAUCGACCGUUCCUUUUCUAGUUUACCUUUUUCUUUUAUUCAGAAUAAAAUUACUGUUGCAGAGGAGAAACCGAAACCCUAAUCGAUGGAGGAACAAGGCUCGUGAAUCCAAAUUUCCCAGGUUAGAAUACGGCGGCAGUAGAAACCCUAACCGGGAGGGCAUGGAGGAAGAUAUAAUAUAUCAGGGGAUACGAUUGGGCAACCCCCUGAAGGAUUCAAUUUCAUGUAUCACAGGAUGCAAACAGAGACGGGUGAAAAAUUGUUACCAAUCACGAUAGGUGGUACCCCCAUAACACUGCCCAAACCCGGUUACCAUGAUAUUAAUCAACCCAAAUUCUCUGAGAUUCCUCUUGAAACUAUGAAGUAUCUGUAUCCCGAUUAUGAUCCGUCAGAUCCCCAUCGAGAGGGUCUUAAAGCACGCAACCCCCUUGUCCUCCGAAACCUCUUGUCUUCUUGAAUGAAGCCCAUAAAAAGCGCGUAUUAGAUACGCGAGCAGCUGCCAUCCAGAGACGGGCCGAUCUCAAGCGCCGCCAGGAGGAGGCUUUGGAGAAUUAUGACCGUGACUAUGCAGCAUAUUUGUCCGCAUCUGCCCCUUCUUCCGGUACCAAAGCUGACCAGAAUCUUGGUGGUGACUCAUGUUCAACCAUGAUGUGAAAUCUGGAAAUCUAGAUACUGCAGCCGUUCUUCAACAACUGCUGCUACUAAUAAUAAUCAAAUCCACUCUUAUAGUUGGGUUUUUACGUUUGAUUACUAGUUACAAUGUAAAUUAAGAUACUUUGAAAUGUUGGAUCGCUUAUGUAUGCCAUCUUUGCAUCUUAAUCAGAUGUAUUGUACUAUGGAA